rnacentral:rRNA from 1 species
GUGGGGAAUAUUGGACAAUGGGCGCAAGCCUGAUCCAGCCAUGCCGCGUGAGUGAUGAAGGCCUUCGGGUUGUAAAGCUCUUUAGCCGAUGAUUAUAAUGACUGUAGUCGGAAAAUAAGCCCCGGCUAACUUCGUGCCAGCAGCCGCGGUAAUACGAAGGGGGCGAGCGUUAUUCGGAAUCACUGGGCGUAAAGCGUGCGUAGGCGGCUUUGCAAGUUGGGAGUGAAAGCCCAGGGCUCAACCCUGGAAUUGCUCUCAAAACUGCAAGGCUCGAAUUCGGGAGAGGAUAGCGGAAUUGUCAGUGUAGCAGUGAAAUGCGUAGAUAUUGACAGGAACACCAGUGGCGUAAGCGGCUAUCUGGACCGAUAUUGACGCUGAGGCACGAAAGCGUGGGGAUCAAACAGGAUUAGAUACCCUAGUAGUCC